AGUGAACGCUGGCGGUAGGCCUAACACAUGCAAGUCGAACGGCAGCACAGUAAGAGCUUGCUCUUACGGGUGGCGAGUGGCGGACGGGUGAGGAAUACAUCGGAAUCUACUUUUUCGUGGGGGAUAACGUAGGGAAACUUACGCUAAUACCGCAUACGACCUACGGGUGAAAGCAGGGGAUCUUCGGACCUUGCGCGAUUGAAUGAGCCGAUGUCGGAUUAGCUAGUUGGCGGGGUAAAGGCCCACCAAGGCGACGAUCCGUAGCUGGUCUGAGAGGAUGAUCAGCCACACUGGAACUGAGACACGGUCCAGACUCCUACGGGAGGCAGCAGUGGGGAAUAUUGGACAAUGGGCGCAAGCCUGAUCCAGCCAUACCGCGUGGGUGAAGAAGGCCUUCGGGUUGUAAAGCCCCUUUGUUGGGAAAGAAAAGCAGCAGGUGAAUACCCCGCUGUUCUGACGGUACCCAAAGAAUAAGCACCGGCUAACUUCGUG
rnacentral:rRNA from 1 species